AGAAAUCAAUAAUGUUGCAGUUUGGAACACCAUUGCAGGGCUUUUAGUCAAACUCUCUUGAUUAGGGGUGGAGGUGGGUGGGCUACAAACUGCAGCCUGAAGAAGGAAUGGUACUGGCUCAAGGUCACAUGUCUGGUUAGUUGAUAGCUGGGAAAGGAACUCAGGACUCCUGACUUCCAUGCCAGGGCUCUGUCUCCCACUGUCAUUGAGAACGGAUAUUGGUGUGGACCAGCACUCUUGGCAGACGGAUUAUUUAAUGAGCCAAAUUAUUUUACCAUAAUGGCAUGAACAUUUCAUAGUAAAUCAGGUCCAUUGUCACUACAGCAUCACUAAUUACCCACAUGUAGUCAGCAAGGGUGAACUUUCCUCUUGAAAUCGCUAUUUCAUAGAAUAUUGAUUUCCCAGAUACAUUGUGAGAUGGCUAACAUUGGCUAGGAUGAGAUAUGAAGUCUGGAUAAAUAUACCUUGAUGUGCUUUUUAUAGCCUCUGAUCCCUAAAUCUUGAAUUUUAUUUUGUAAGGAAGAAGCUCAUAGUAGAUUCUAUAGGAAUAAGGAAGUAUAGAAUUGGUAUAUUAAUGAAUCAUUUAGACUAAAGGGGUUCGUUCAAGGUUAAGAGAUGAUUUUUAUUUCAAGUAGGGAGGCAUCUGGGAACAUUUAUAGGCUGUUGAUAAGGAACCAGUGGAGAGGGAGGUACAAACUCAAGAAAGGGCAAGGGUAGAUCACUGAGGGAGUAAAGUUCCUGAACUGGUAGGGUGACUGGAUUUGGACAAGAGCAAGGCACUAUAUUUUCUCAGACUGGAGGUGAAGGAUAAGCGAAGAUGGAAAUCACCAGAAGAUUGAAGGUGCUCCCCACCAUCCCAUCCCCACGCAAAGAUCUGGCUUCCAGCUCCAACACUGCCACCAGAUGGCCAACUGUUCUUAGGCCAGUGGUCUAACCUCUCUGGGCUUCAGCUUCAUCAUCCCUUGUUAGAUGUGCUCUGCCUACCUCACGGGACUGGACUGCUGAGUGGAACAAAUGAGGUAAGGAUAUAAGAAUUUUUUGGAGAAUUAAAAACACAGAGCUAAAGUCAAAAAGAGUCAAAAGCAAUAAACUCAGGACUGGCCUAAGAUAAAAGGUGAAA
rnacentral:lncRNA from 1 species